AUAAAUAUAAGUCAUAAGCAUACAUAUCAAAACUGAAAGAAUUAAUUCAACAGUCAAGUAAAGGCUAACUAAAA